CAGCAGGAGUGAGGCAGCAAAAGAAGAAAGCAGUCCUACCAAGUAGAAGAGUUUGGUGACAUUGUCGGGGAAAGAGCAAGGUGGGAUCAUAUCACAGACCAUGCUGGACCAUACUGAGCAUGCUUAGGUGUUGGCAUUUAUACACCUGUAGCCAUGGAAAUGACUGGAACACCUGAAUUCAAUGAUUUCUAUGGGGCUAGAGCCUACACCAGCUAUUCCAGGCAGGGUACACUUGAACAGAUCACCUGGACAGGUCUUGGAGCACACACAGUCUCUCUGGGGUUGAAGCUGCA